rnacentral:rRNA from 1 species
GUAGGGAAUCUUCCACAAUGGGCGCAAGCCUGAUGGAGCAACGCCGCGUGAGUGAAGAAGGUCUUCGGAUCGUAAAACUCUGUUGUUAGAGAAGAACAUGCAGGAGAGUAACUGUUCUUGUAUUGACGGUAUCUAACCAGAAAGCCACGGCUAACUACGCGCCAG